rnacentral:rRNA from 1 species
UACGUAGGGUGCGAGCGUUAAUCGGAAUUACUGGGCGUAAAGCGUGCGUAGGUGGUGAGUUAAGUCUGUCGUGAAAGCCCCGGGCUCAACCUGGGAAUGGCGAUGGAUACUGGCUCGCUAGAGUGCGGUAGAGGAGAGUGGAAUUCCCGGUGUAGCAGUGAAAUGCGUAGAGAUCGGGAGGAACAUCAGUUGCGAAGGCGGCUCGUCUGGACCAGCACUGACACUGAGGCACGAAAAGCGUGGGGGAGCAAACAGG